UGUCAAUAUUCAUUAAACUAAAACUCUCCUAAAACGCCAAAACGGCAAAACCCAACCAAAUAGAGGAAGAGUGAGAUCAGAGGAGUGGCGAGUGUCAGAAAAAGAGAGAUUCAAAGAGAAGAGAGAGUUCGUCGCCGAAACCCUAAGCUCGCCGUAGCCGUCGCCGCCGCUAUCGUAGUUCAUUUGCUUUUCACUACUGUCGUAAAGCUUAUGGGAUCGAGCUCCGCUAAUGCAUCAUCUCCAGAUUUGUAGCAACGCGGAAUCCCCUGAUAUCGAGAGAAAGAGCCUCUCCCGUUAACACAUCUCAUUUGCGAACGACGCUGUUGCAUUCUCUGUCAGCAUUCUAUUGCAGGAUAGGAAGCAAUUGCAUGUCACUCUUCUCAAUUUGAUUAGUUUAAUGCAUAUUUUUGCGUUCCGAAAAUUUUUCUCUUGAUUUUUUAAUCCUUAAUUUACAAACUUAGUAUAAUGUGAAUAGCUUGUGUAUAUGAAUUUGAAGUAAAUUCUAAGAAAAUUGAUAAAUUCGCAAGGUAGAUUAUUGUACAGGUAGAGUGAGGAGGAGAUGAACCCUAACCGUAAUCCGCAAUCAAGCAAUGGAGGAGGCAUGAUGCGAUGCUACACUCACUGAGUUUCUCACUUCGUUAAUGCAUUAUACUCCUAUGGUUCGUUCUGUUUUCUUCUAUUUAGUUACCUGAUGAAUUGGUGAAGCAUUACUUAGCCAAGAGCGGGUUUUCAGUCUCUCGAUCUUCGAUUAUUAGUGCCUUUUUCCUUUACAGAUUUGUUCCUUUUUUAUUGAUGUGUGAGUUUAACUUUGAUGUUUUGACAUUGUCAACUAAUUAGAGGUAGGAAUUGCCAUAUUAGAGUUGAUUAUAGAGAAUAAUAGUUCAAUUUAAUAUUUGGUUAUAGGCUCAAAUUAGGAUAGUGAAUCAGAGGUAGGAUUGUCCUAUAGCUAGAGGCAGAGGUAGACCCAAGAACAAAUGCUUCCAAGACACAACAGAGGUAGCAAUAGACCAUCAGCUUAACAAGACAAAAGUCCUUCAAGGACCACCUAUUUCUUGCUCUGCAAUGCAGUCCUUCAAGAAUCCCUUCUCUGCUCUCUUGGCUGUGUUGUUCGACGACGACGCUCCUCUUAGGAGAGUUUGCAGCACCGGUGAUCUUCAUGGGACUCAUGGCAGCAUCAUGCAUAACAAUAAUGAAGUAUGUUUCUUAAAUUAAUAAAUUGGCAGUAAGGUUUGCUUAAUAUUUAUAUUUGUGUUAUGCUUAAUAUUUUUUUGAGUAUUAUAUGUUUAGUCAUCAAUUUGGUUUGUGGACACUCAGCUUUCAGUGUUCAAAUUUGGUACUGGUCAAGUCUUGCUGAGAUUCUUAAUUCCCUUCAGUGAAAUUGCGGAGUUUUCUUAGAUCAAAGAUCUAUGAUUUUCUGCAUUCACGAGUCCUUUAGUGAUGUUGGUACUUGGAAUCAUCUGUUUGAUUUAUUUUUUGUUCUUUCCCUUUACUCAUGAACUUGGGGAUGAGUAUGGAAUGAUAUUAAGGUUGGAAUGGAUAAGAGAGUGCUACAUUUUUUAUUCUUAUUUUUUGGUUCUUUGUUACUAUUUCUGAUUUUGUCAUUGCUUUGAUGGAAAAUUCUCCAACUCUUUAUGUCAUUAUCCAAGUCAAUUCCAGAUGAUGUCUCAACUAUGUUGAUGGCAAAAUCCGAGAGAACAUGCCAUUGUUAGAGCUGGCAUAGUAUGCUUCAUGGUUGUAAAUUUUGACUCGUUUGAAGCCUUUUCAUAUUCAAUAAGUUUCUCAUGGAUAAUUAUAACAGUUGUAAUGGUAAUUAAAUAUAAAAUCAUUUAUAUGCUUCUUCUUACAAGUUAGCUUUUUUACUUCCCCUUUUCAGCUUAGUUUCAUAAUUUCUUCCUGUCUUCCUUUUAAGAUAGUAUAGUUAUGCAAGCUGAUGCGUGAUCUUAAUACUAGUUAUUUUUAGAUGUUUCUAGUUGAAUACCUUACUGAUUCUUUACUCAAAUUUUUUUUAAUUCUUUGUAUUCAUAUUUUCAAUUUUCAAUAUAUGUGUUAUUGACUAUCAAUCAAUACUUUGAAUUGAACUUCAAUCUGAUCUGCUGCUCAGAACUUCAAUUCAUGCUUGGGGUUCUCUACUUUGUUGUCUUGGUAUGUUUUUUCUCUGCUGCUUGGAACUUCAAUUCAGAACUUCUCUUUACUGUUAUCUUUUUUCCCACACCACCAAGUUUUGCGGGUAUGAUUUCUUAGUUUUGUUUUUGCUGUGUUUCACCACUAGCUGCAUUGUUUGUGUUCAUUCUCACAAUUUCUUUUUUGUCUAUGCCAUCUUGUGCCAUGUCAAUAUUAUAACCCUAUUAGUUCAUUUAGCAAGAAAUAAUUUUAAAUUUAAAUCUUAAAUCUUAUUAGUAAUGAUAUUGAUAUAUUGAUGUUGAACUAUUUCGUUGCUUCUUUUUGGAUAAAUAAAUUCUUAAUUGGUUAAAUCAUUUUGAACCUCACAAGGUGCUACAUAAAUAUUUGUAAAAACAACAUAUAUUAUAAACAAUUAUUUAAAAUUGAAUGUGAGAUUCCUCAAUCUAAUAAUUGAUUUUAACUUUCAAUUUUAACUAUUUAAUAUGAAGUAAAUUAAAAAAAGAAAAGAAAAGAGAAAGACCAGACUAAAAAUUAUGGCAAAGUGGAAGUUAUUAAUUGACUAUCCACACAAGUAAUACGGUCUCUCCAUGAUAAGACUGAUCUUAUUUCAAAUUAGCUUUCCAAUGCACAAUAAAAUGUUGGAACAUUAUCUUUACUGAUUUUGUCAGAAGUGAGACUUCAAAACCACAUUUGAGAUGCUUAAGUGACAUUUCAUAACUUGCAGAGAUAACAAAGCAUUUUGCAGCUUUAACUGUGGAUCCGAGGAAGAAGUGGAGCUCUCCUGGCUCAAGUUACCAUGAUCUCUUCUUCAAGGGUCUGCUUUGUUGGUUGUCAUGAUCCAAUUUUCAUGGUUUUAUGAUAGCUUUGUUGUUUGGGUGCCAUGUCUCAUGGCAUUCUCCCAAGAAAUAUGCUAUCAUUGAAAACAAGGUGUCAUCAUUAACCGUUUUGAAUUGACAUGAUAGCAACACCAACUACCAACACGAGGAGACUGGAAAGACAAAGGCAUAGCUGCACUACAAAACAGGGUAGCAGAGAAGGAGACUCAAAAACUCUCCGAGAGAACAACUGUCCCUUGCUAUAAUGUGACCAUGUUAGUUAAGUGUCAGGCCAUUGACGAGUUUCUUAAGAUUCAUAUAAUUGAGCAAUUGGGAACUUUGCUUCAUUCUCUCUGCUGUAUUAUUGUAUUGCAUCUGUGUUAGGUUAUAUUUGUUUUCUUUUAAUCAUUAACUAUGUGUUAAUCAUUGAUGUAACAUAGAUUCGUAGUAUUUGUGUUGUUUAAAUUUGUAUUAUGCUUUAUUACUUUUCAAGAGAA